GAUGAACGCUGGCGGCGUGCCUAUACAUGCAAGUCGAGCGAAUGGAUUAAGAGCUUGCUCUUAUGAAGUUAGCGGCGGACGGGUGAGUAACACGUGGGUAACCUGCCCAUAAGACUGGGAUAACUCCGGGAAACCGGGGCUAAUACCGGAUAACAUUUUGAACCGCAUGGUUCGAAAUUGAAAGGCGGCUUCGGCUGUCGCUUAUGGAUGGACCCGCGUCGCAUUAGCUAGUUGGUGAGGUAACGGCUCACCAAGGCAACGAUGCGUAGCCGACCUGAGAGGGUGAUUGGCCACACUGGGACUGAGACACGGCCCAGACUCCUACGGGAGGCAGCAGUAGGGAAUCUUCCGCAAUGGACGAAAGUCUGACGGAGCAACGCCGCGUGAGUGAUGAAGGCUUUCGGGUCGUAAAACUCUGUUGUUAGGGAAGAACAAGUGCUAGUUGAAUAAGCUGGCACCUUGACGGUACCUAACCAGAAAGCCACGGCUAACUACGUGCCAGCCGCCGCCGUAA
rnacentral:rRNA from 1 species